rnacentral:rRNA from 1 species
UACGUAGGGUGCGAGCGUUGUCCGGAAUUAUUGGGCGUAAAGAGCUCGUAGGCGGUUUGUCGCGUCGACUGUGAAAACCUACAGCUUAACUGUGGGCUUGCAGUCGAUACGGGCAGACUUGAGUUCGGUAGGGGAGACUGGAAUUCCUGGUGUAGCGGUGAAAUGCGCAGAUAUCAGGAGGAACACCGGUGGCGAAGGCGGGACUCUGGGCCGAUACUGACGCUGAGGAGCGAAAGCGUGGGGAGCAAACAGG